rnacentral:rRNA from 1 species
GUGGAGCAAUCCAUGAGUAAAGUGGCGACCGGGUGAGUAACACGUGACCAAUCUACCCUUGAGUGGGGGAUAACCUCGGGAAACCGGGGCUAAUACCGCAUAAUAUCCUUGGAACGGAAGUACUGGGGAUCAAAGGAGCGAUUCGCUUAAGGAGGAGGUCGCGGCUGAUUAGCUAGUUGGCGGGGUAAUGGCCCACCAAGGCUUAGAUCGGUAGCCGGCCUGAGAGGGCGCACGGCCACACUGGAACUGAAACACGGUCCAGACUCCUACGGGAGGCAGCAGUGGGGAAUCUUGCACAAUGGGGGAAACCCUGAUGCAGCGACGCCGCGUGAGCGAUGAAGCCCUUCGGGGUGUAAAGCUCUUUCGGCAGGGAAGAUUAUGACGGUACCUGCAGAAGCAGCUGCGGCUAACUACGUGCCAGCAGCCGCGGUAAUACGUAGGCAGCAAGCGUUGUUCGGAGUUACUGGGCGUAAAGGGUGUGUAGGCGGUUGGAUAAGUGUGGUGUGAAAUCUCCCGGCUUAACUGGGAGGGUGCGCUACAAACUGUCUGACUAGAGUGUGGGAUGGGUAAGUGGAAUUCCUGGUGUAGCGGUGAAAUGCGUAGAUAUCAGGAGGAACACCGGUGGUGUAGACGGCUUACUGGACCAUAACUGACGCUGAGACACGAAAGCGUGGGUAGCAAACAGGAUUAGAUACCCUGGU